UACGUAGGGACCAAGCGUUGUUCGGAUUUACUGGGCGUAAAGGGCGCGUAGGCGGCUUGUCAAGUCACUUGUGAAAUCUCUGGCUUAACCCAGAACGGCCAAGUGAAACUGACAUGCUAGAGUGCAGAAGGGGCAAUCGGAAUUCUUGGUGUAGCGGUGAAAUGCGUAGAUAUCAGGAGGAACACCGAUGGCGAAGGCAGGUCUCUGGGCCACUACUGACGCUGAGAAGCGAAAGCAUGGGGAGCAAACAGG
rnacentral:rRNA from 1 species